rnacentral:rRNA from 1 species
UACGAGUGCUCCAAGCGUUAUCCGGAAUCAUUGGGCGUAAAGGGUGUGUAGGCGGUCUUGUUAGUCUUCUGUCAAAUUCUUCGGCUCAACCGGGGGUCCACAGGGGAAACGGCAAGACUUGAGGAUGCGAGAGGUAUGCGGAACUCAUAGUGUAGGGGUGAAAUCCGUUGAUAUUAUGGGGAACACCAAAAGCGAAGGCAGCAUACUGGCGCACUCCUGACGCUGAAACACGAAAGCGUGGGUAGCGAAUGGG